GGAGAGAACAACAAGGUCACAGCAGCAGAUAGAUGGAUGGAAUAAUGCAAAGGACGUUUGAAACUGUGAAAGAAGUGGUUGCAUCAGUUCACAAGAGCACCACGGUCAGUGAUAAAAUCGCCUUCUACGACACCUGGGCAGAGGACUAUGAUCACGAUCUUUCGAUGUGGUUGUGAUCUGUGGAGCACUCAGUGUUUGUCACAUUCCUGUUAGUAUAGUCAAAGAGCUGUGUAAAGCCAGGUGGCUUCGUUUGCAGACACUACCGUGACAAUCUGGAACACAAAGCUGCCCCGGAGCGUGAGCCGAAGCAGAUGGAGGAAGAGGGGCUCUGGAGUUGUGUGGCUUUCACU